rnacentral:rRNA from 1 species
AGCGGCGGACGGGUGAGUAACGCGUGGGUAACCGUGCCUCAUACAGGGGAGUAACAGUUGGAAACGGCUGCUAAUACCGCAUAAGCGCACAGUACCGCAUGGUACCGUGUGAAAAACUCCGGUGGUAUGAGAUGGACCCGCGUCUGAUUAGCUAGUUGGUGGGGUAACGGCCUACCAAGCCGACGAUCAGUAGCCGACCUGAGAGGGUGACCGGCCACAUUGGGACUGAGACACGGCCCAA